GGCCGGCCAGCCAGCCAUGGGAGAGGAAGGCAGCUGGCCAGCAAUGGGAGAGCAGAGGUGGCUGGCCAGCCAUAGGAGAGCAGAGGCAGCUGCCCAGCCAAGGAAGAGAGCAUGUGCGUUUUGAGGGAGGGCAGAGACGGUCUAGCCAGCAGGCGCUGUGUGUCAGUAUGGGUAUCAGGGUAUGUAUCUUUGUGUCAGUGUGUGUAUCUAUAUUUGUAUCAUGGUAUAUAUCUAUGUGUCUGUGUAUCUGCAUGUGUGUCAGGGUAUGUAUCUGUGUGUCAGUGUGUGUAUCUCUGUGUAUCUGCAUGUGUGU